rnacentral:rRNA from 1 species
UCGGGAAUUUUGUGCAAUGGGCGAAAGCCUGACACAGCAACGCCGCGUGAAGGAUGAAGUCCCUCGGGAUGUAAACUUCGUAAGAAUAGGAAGAAUAAAUGACGGUACUAUUUGUAAGGUCCGGCUAACUGCGUGCCAGCAGCCGCGGUAAUACGUAGGGACCAAGCGUUGUUCGGAUUUACUGGGCGUAAAGGGUGCGUAGGCGGCAUAUCAAGUCACUUGUGAAAUCUCCGGGCUUAACUCGGAACUGCCAAGUGAUACUGAUGUGCUAGAGUGCAGAAAGGGCAACUGGAAUUCUUGGUGUAGCGGUGAAAUGCGUAGAUAUCAAGAGGAACACCUGAGGCGAAGGCGAGUUGCUAGGCUGACACUGACGCUGAGGUACGAAAGCUAGGGGAGCGAACGGGAUUAGAUACCCCCGUAGUCCCUGAGCGGGCUGGCAAGGCGCAU